rnacentral:misc_RNA from 1 species
AACGCACCUUGCGCCCUUUGGUAUUCCGAAGGGCAUGCCUGUUUGAGUGUCAUUAAAUUAUCAACUUCAAUAAUUAUUGUUAUUGAAGCUUGGACUUUGGAGGUUAUUGCAGGCAUAUAUUAUAUGUCAGCUCCUCUUAAAUGCAUUAGCAGAACUUGUUAAGGAUCGGCUUUGGUUUGAUAAUAUAUCUAUGCCGUCGCUGUGAACUUCUAGUGUUCAGCUUAUAAUUGUCCUUAGGACUGUCUCUUUAUGAGGCAUACACUUUAAGCUUGACCUCAAAUCAGGUAGGAUUACCCGCUGAACUUAA